AUUGAACGCUGGCGGCAGGCCUAACACAUGCAAGUCGAGCGGAAACGACAACAUUGAAUCUUCGGAGGAUUUGUUGGGCGUCGAGCGGCGGACGGGUGAGUAAUGCCUAGGAAAUUGCCUUGAUGUGGGGGAUAACCAUUGGAAACGAUGGCUAAUACCGCAUAAUGCCUACGGGCCAAAGAGGGGGAUCUUCGGACCUCUCGCGUCAAGAUAUGCCUAGGUGGGAUUAGCUAGUUGGUGAGGUAAUGGCUCACCAAGGCGACGAUCCCUAGCUGGUCUGAGAGGAUGAUCAGCCACACUGGAACUGAGACACGGUCCAG
rnacentral:rRNA from 1 species